rnacentral:rRNA from 1 species
AGCAGCCGCGGUAAUUCCAGCUCCAAUAGCGUAUAUUAAAGUUGUUGCAGUUAAAAAGCUCGUAGUUGAAUUUCGGGGUCAGUAGGUCGGUCAUGCCACAGGUAUGCACUGGUCUCACUGAUUCCUCCUUCCUGAUGAACCGUAAUGCCAUUAAUUUGGUGUUGCGGGGAGACUGGACUGUUACUUUGAAAAAAUUAGAGUGUUUAAAGCAGGCUAACGCUUGAAUACAUUAGCAUGGAAUAACGGAAUAGGACGUUCGAUCUUAUUUUGUUGGUUUCUAAGAUUGACGUAAUGAUUAAUAGGGAUAGUUGGGGGCAUUAGUAUUCAAUUGUCAGAGGUGAAAUUCUUGGAUUUAUUGAAGACUAACUACUGCGAAAGCAUUUGCCAAGGAUGUUUUCAUUAAUCAAGAACGAAAGUUGGGGGCUCGAAGACGAUCAGAUACCGUCCUAGUCUCAACCAUAAACGAUGCCGACCAGGGAUCGGCGGAUGUUGCUUUUAGGACUCCGCCGGCACCUU